GACGAACGCUGGCGGCGCGCCUAAUACAUGCAAGUCGAACGGGCACACUUCGGUGUGUCAGUGGCGGACGGGUGAGUAACACGUGGGUGACCUGCCCCGCAGUACGGAAUAACCCUGGGAAACCAGGGCUAAUACCGCAUAUGCUUAGUGCUUCGCUGCAUUAAGUAAAGACUUCUCGCUGCGGGAGGGGCUUGCGGCGGAUUAGCUAGUCGGUGGGGUAAUGGCCACCGAGGCGACGAUCCGUAGCUGGUCUGAGAGGACGACCAGCCACACUGGGACUGAGACACGGCCCAGACUCCUACGGGAGGCAGCAGUAAGGAAUAUUCCACAAUGGGCGCCAGCCUGAUGGAGCGACGCCGCGUGAGCGAAGAAGCCCUUCGGGGGUGUAAAGCUCUUUUCGGGGGGAUGAGACAGACAGUACCCCUGGAAUAAGCCUCGGCUAACUACGUGCCAGCA
rnacentral:rRNA from 1 species